ACGGGAGGCAGCAGUGGGGAAUAUUGGACAAUGGGGGAAACCCUGAUCCAGCGACGCCGCGUGAGUGAAGAAGUAUUUCGGUAUGUAAAGCUCUAUCGGCAGGGAAGAUAAUGACGGUACCUGACUAAGAAGCCCCGGCUAACUACGUGCCAGCAGCCGCGGUAAUACGUAGGGGCAAGCGUUAUCCGGAUUUACUGGGUGUAAAGGGAGCGUAGACGGAAUAGCAAGUUUGAAGUGAAAUACCUGUGCUUAACGCAGGAAUUGCUUUGAAAACUGUUAAUCUAGAGUACUGGAGGGGUAUGGGGAAUUCCUAGUGUAGUAGUGAAAUGCGUAGAUAUUAGGAGGAACACCGGAGGCGAAGGCGCCAUACUGGACAGAUACUGACGUUGAGGCUCGAAAGCGUGGGGAGCAAACAGGAUUAGAUACCCUGGUA
rnacentral:rRNA from 1 species